rnacentral:rRNA from 1 species
AAUCUUCCGCCAUGGACGAAUGUCUGACUGAGCAACGCCGCGUGUGUGAUGAAGGUUUUCGGACCGUAUAACUCUGUUGUUAGGGAAGAACGAGUAUCUGAGUCACUGCUGCUACCUUGACGUUACCUGCCUAGAAACCCACGACUAACUACGUUCCAGCAGCCGCGGUAAUACGUAGGUGGCAAGCGUUGUCCGGAUUUAUUGGGCGUAAAGCGCGCGCAGGCGGUCUUUUAAGUCUGAUGUGAAAUCUUACAGCUUAACUGUAAGCGGUCAUUGGAAACUGGGAGACUUGAGUGCAGAAGAGGGGAGUGGAAUUCCAUGUGUAGCGGUGAAAUGCGUAGAGAUAUGGAGGAACACCAGUGGCGAAGGCGACUCUCUGGUCUGUAACUGACGCUGAGGCGCGAAAGCGUGGGGAUCAAACA